AUGGAGACAGAGGUUGCGGUCACCGCAGGCGUGUUAUUGUUGCACCCUGACGUCGUCGACGGCGACGAGCUUCCACAGCCGGAGGCGGAGUUCCACACGGACUCCGACGACCACUCCGACAACGACUCCUACGACCACUCCGGCGACGACUCCGAUAAUGACGGACAGCUAGUAUUGUCUGACGAUGUGGACAGCGAGGAUGAAGAUGUCCAGAGGAGGUACAAGAGGCGAAUCCUGAGGGAGCUUUAUGCGGGAAUGCAUAACAAGCGUAUUAGGACGUGGAACAACGGCUAUGGAUGCCCAUUUUUCCACCACAAGAUUCAUGACGCGUAUCUAAGUGUUCUGGCGCAUGCAAAAGGACGGGCCGUUGGCUCCUUCAAGCAGAAGUAUUCCCACAGGGUGGCACAUGGCACGUACGCCAAGUACCUGGAGAAGCUUCAGCAUCGUGCCGGCCGCAUGUGA
rnacentral:rRNA from 1 species